rnacentral:tRNA from 1 species
GUGGAUGUGGCUUAGUUGAUACAGCAUGUGCUUAGCAUGUGCAAAGGCCUGGGUUCAAAUCCCAGCACCACA